rnacentral:lncRNA from 1 species
UAAUUUAUUAAAUAAUAAAUUUUAUUAUUAUUUUUAAUUUUUUGAUGUUUUAAAGCGUCAAGAUUUUAAAAAUUCUAACGAUUUAAAGUGCAUGUAUAUAUUUUAUUGAUAUUUGGUAUAAGUGUUAGUAUAUGUUAGUAUAUAUAUGACAAUUUUUAAUUUACUGAUAUUUUAAUCGAUACUUUCAAAUAUAACACUAAAUUAUAUUGAGAUGCUUUUAAGCGUCGUGAAAUAUUAAAAAAAAUUCUUUUUUUUUU